rnacentral:rRNA from 1 species
UACGGAGGGUGCAAGCGUUAUCCGGAUUCACUGGGUUUAAAGGGUGCGUAGGUGGGUUGGUAAGUCAGUGGUGAAAUCUCCGGGCUUAACCUGGAAACUGCCAUUGAUACUAUCAAUCUUGAAUACCUUGGAGGUGAGCGGAAUAUGUCAUGUAGCGGUGAAAUGCUUAGAUAUGACAUAGAACACCAAUUGCGAAGGCAGCUCACUACACGGUCAUUGACACUGAGGCACGAAAGCGUGGGGAU